GCUACGGGGCGCAGCAGUGGGGAAUAUUGGACAAUGGGCGCAAGCCUGAUCCAGCCAUGCCGCGUGGGUGAAGAAGGCCUUAGGGUUGUAAACCCCUUUCAGCGGGGAAGAUAAUGACGGUACCCGCAGAAGAAGUCCCGGCUAACUCCGUGCCAGCAGCCGCGGUAAUACGGAGGGGACUAGCGUUGUUCGGAAUUACUGGGCGUAAAGCGCACGUAGGCGGAUUUGUAAGUCAGGGGUGAAAUCCCGGGGCUCAACCUCGGAACUGCCUUUGAUACUGCAAAUCUCGAGUCCGGAAGAGGUGAGUGGAAUUCCUAGUGUAGAGGUGAAAUUCGUAGAUAUUAGGAAGAACACCAGUGGCGAAGGCGGCUCACUGGUCCGGUACUGACGCUGAGGUGCGAAAGCGUGGGGAGCAAACAGGAUUAGAAACCCUAGUAGUCCC
rnacentral:rRNA from 1 species